rnacentral:rRNA from 1 species
GACGAACGCUGGCGGCGUGCCUAACACAUGCAAGUCGAACGGUGCCGUCGGAGCUUGCUCUGCUGGAUUAGUUGCGAACGGGUGAGUAACACUUGAGCAAUCUGCCACUGACCCUGGGAUAAGCGCUGGCAACGGCGUCUAAUACUGGAUACGAGCUGCGAAGGCAUCUUCAGCAGCUGGUAAGAACAUCGGUUAGGGAUGGGCACGCGUGGGAUUAGCUAGUUGGUGGGGUAAAAGCCUACCAAGGCGACGAUGCAUAGCUGGUCUGAGAGGAUGAUCAGCCACACUGGGACUGAGACACGGACCAGACUCCUACGGGAGGCAGCAGUGGGGAAUAUUGGACAAUGGGCGAAAGCAUGAUCCAGUAAUGCCGCGUGAGUGAUGAAGGCCUUAGGGUUGUAAAGCUCUUUUACCCGGGAUGAUAAUGACAGGACCGGGAGAAUAAGCUCCGGCUAACUCCGUG